rnacentral:ncRNA from 1 species
GAAAUAGCAAUGAUAAAGAGUAGUACAUUUGUUUUUGUUUUGUAGAGAGUUUGUGGCUGGUGAAAACAAACAAACAAAACUUAUGGAAUGGACUUUGGAGCACUAAAAAUGAACAGAGGAUUCCUCUUAUUAGUUUUUGGCGAGUAAUCUCACGUUAAUGGGAUUCCAUGAAUUAUUUCAUGGAACUAAGAGGCACAAUAGUUUACUUGUGCACUUAGGGUGGCACCGCGGAAUCAACCAUUCGUCCCUAUU